UGGGGAAUCUUCCGCAAUGGACGAAAGUCUGACGGAGCAACGCCGCGUGAGUGAAGACGGCCUUCGGGUUGUAAAGCUCUGUGAUCCGGGACGAAAGAGCCUGAGGUAAAUAGCCUAAGGAAGUGACCGUACCGGAAAAGCAAGCCACGGCUAACUACGUGCCAGCAGCCGCGGUAAUACGUAGGUGGCAAGCGUUGUCCGGAAUUAUUGGGCGUAAAGCGCGCGCAGGCGGCUUACUAAGUCCAUCUUAAAAGUGCGGGGCUUAACCCCGUGAUGGGAUGCAAACUGGAAAGCUGGAGUAUCGGAGAGGAAAGUGGAAUUCCUAGUGUAGCGGUGAAAUGCGUAGAGAUUAGGAAGAACACCGGUGGCGAAGGCGACUUUCUGGACGAAAACUGACGCUGAGGCGCGAAAGCGUGGGGAGCAAACAGG
rnacentral:rRNA from 1 species